UACGAACCGUACGAACGUUAUUCGGAAUUACUGGGCUUAAAGGGUGCGUAGGCGGCGCGGAAAGUAGGGUGUGAAAUCCCUCGGCUCAACCGAGGAACUGCGCUCUAAACUACCGUGCUCGAGGGAGAUAGAGGUGAGCGGAACUGAGGGUGGAGCGGUGAAAUGCGUUGAUAUCCUCAGGAACACCGGUGGCGAAAGCGGCUCACUGGAUCUCGUCUGACGCUGAGGCACGAAAGCUAGGGUAGCGAACAGG
rnacentral:rRNA from 1 species